ACAAGAUUCAAAACCCUAAGUUCCUAAUGAUUUCUCUCCAACUCUCCCUCUCUCGUUCUCUUCCUCCCUUCAAAUCCUCCACCCACCCGCCCUCCUUCUCUUCUCCGGCGUCGUCGGCCGCGGUGCCUGGAUCCAGCGAAGCCGUGCCUCCAUUUCUCCUCAUAUCUCAACAUAUUUUCACCUCUCUCCUUCUCAUCCCUCAAUUUCUCAGUUCGUGCCCUAGAUCUGCUUCCAAAAUGUUGUCACCUCAAGGAUCUCCGCCACGAUUAGCUCCGGCGAGGCUGGCUGCCGUCGCCUCUGAAAUUGGCGAGGCAAUCGUCAUCCCCUGUUCUCACCUACUCAUUCACACGCACACGAUGAAGACAGGGGUUGAGCCCUGACCUCUCGGCUCGACUGUUGCCGCUCUCUCUCACGAGCGCCUUCGCCGUCGGCGCUGGGCUCUAAAAUUGGUGAGGCUUUCGCGCUCCCCUCCCUGUGUUCGACGCGCUCCCCUCCCUGACCUCUCGGCUCGACUGCUGCCGCGCUGUCUCACGAGCACCUUCGUCGUCGGCGCUGGGCUCUAAAAUUGGUUCGCGCUCCCCUCCCUGUGUUCGUCCGGCGGGUAGCAGUCCUGAGAUUGCCACCUUCUUAGCCAGAUAUUACUUAUGCAGGUGGGCCAGGUAAAUUUUCCCAAAUUCAGAUAUCGAAUUAGGUAUCCUCUUCGAAAAAAUGCCAUCUUUGGAUGGAUCCCAUGUUUCAGAUCUGUAUAUGUGUGUGUGUGUGUGUGUGUGGGCAAUUAGUUUUAUUGGGUGCUCUUUACUGUGUAAUGUAUGUAGUUCAAGUGAUGAGCUGAUUUCUGAAAGUUGGGCUGUUUAUGAACUCUUUGAUACUUUGAUAUGAAGCUAAAAGAGCUGAUAUAUCUAUAUAUGUAUGUAUGUAUGCAUAUUUUAUGUUUCUUGGUGAUUGGUCAAUGGGUGGAUUGAGAAGCUUUUGGUGGUGAAAUCAUGCUCGUAGUUGAACUGCUUAAUUUCCAUUAGAAUUUGUUUAGACUCAAUUUCUGCACACACAAGAAUGAAAGGAUGAAAGGUUCUAAUCGAGUUAUGUCUUAAUCUCCUUCAAGGUCUGUUGCAUCCAAGUCAGAAUCUGCCCUCACUCUGUAUCAAGCUGAUUCUAUGGAGGGAAAUGUUGAGGCUGUGACGCUUCUGUUGUCUCGUGGCGCUAUGGUCGGCAAGCACAACCUUGAGUUGCACUGUUUACUGAUGAAUGUUUUGCUUAAGGGAAGUUUGUCUAAAUUAUUGUUUAUGUUUGCUGCUUUCUAUUUUGAAGCCAAGUAAUAAUUAUGUAGUUGUGGACACCCCUCUUGUAUGUUCAAUCAAGGCUCUCACUCAUUUGAAUGCGUGGAUUUGUUGCUUAAGGUUAAUGCUUACUCAAAGAACUAUUUUGUUGGGUUAAGCCCGCUGUCCAUUGCAGCAAAAUAUGGCGAAAGAUUUAUUGCAUCUUUGCUUGAAGAGUAGAUCCAAAUUUAUUGCAUCUUUGCUUGAAGAGUGGAUAAUCAAAAUCUAGGCAAACUCGCUGAAUGUGCCCAGUAAGUUCUGCUUCUUACAUACUGCAAAUCAUGCUUACUUUAUACACACGAGUAAUUUCUACAUAGCACGAAGACGAUCAUUGUCUUUGUUCUUAUCGAUUUUCUUUCCAAUAUAUGUUUAUUUCAAAGUUACUCCCAUGAAAUGUGUAACUCGAGCUAUAUUUUUUUUGAUUUAUAGUGGUUUAGUUUCUGUGAUUGCUUUUGAUUUUUAUUUUUUAUUUAGAUUCUUUGAAUUGAGAAAGUGAGUGAUUGGACCUGUGAAGCCAUGGCUCUGGUGAGUGUACUGUUGCUCUCUUUGACAGCCUGAACUAACAAAAAAAAAAUGUAGAAACCAAGUACUUAAUUCUUUAAUUAAAUACUUUAGAUAUUUUUUUUCUAACAUCAUUAGUUUUUCCUUCUAGUGCUAGGUAAUUUCCCCUUUUUCUAACAUCACUGUUGGUUAUGACUCUUGGAUUUUUGAUUUUCAGUCAUAUGGUGAACUUGAUCUAAACAAGGCGCCUGACACUUUGCAGGUGAUUAAACUUGAGCUAGAAGAAUUCUGCAUUUGACGUGAUUAUAAAUAUUGGUAUCACAUAUACUGCAGAAUUCAUCUUAUAAUCAGUUCUCUCAUUAUUCUUUUGUAAUGGUUGUGAUUACUUAAUGAAUUUAGAUGUUUAUUUUCCACCAUUGAUGUUUCUAUGGAGAUGUAAGUUUUUUAGAAAUGUGUUUUUAUAACAGUUGCAAGAAUUGCUUAAUUUUAUCAUGUCUCAUUUCUUUGUUUAUUUCUGUGCAGCUGUACAUAUUUCUCAACCCCAACUGGACUCAGCUUCAGGAGGUAUUCUUCACUCUGCGGUCGCGAGCAGCUCAACAGUUAUAUAGUUGAAGGAUAAGAUACAAGAUUAUAGAGCUUAUAGAGAGGUGCUGGUUUUAGAAGGCAACGGAAGCCCUAGUUUUUUUUUUUUUUGAGUUGGGCUCAAAACAUCAUGUAUGAAUGUUUUG